UUACACGUGAUUACAGUAAUUUGUUGCAGAUUUGAGUUUACAUGUCGUCUUUUUCACGUAUUGGGAAUGAUGAGUAGCUAGAGCACAUGGGCUGUGUAGUUUGAUGGGAUGGCACACCCUUAGAAUCACAUGAUAGGUGAUUGGUGGAGAGGCUUUAUGAUGAACACACUUAUGGCGUUGGCAGCGCAAAGGCACAGUCGGUCAAUGCGCGGAGCAUCCCAUCGCUGAAGACACCACUUACAGUGCCAAGGACCAUUUUAAAUCCAAGGUGGUCAAUAGUGUAUUUUGCAAGUUGCAGGGGAGGAAUACGCGCUGGAGAGCAAGUCUCCGAAGUCGAGGAUAUUAUAGGACACUAAGCAUAGCGGCUGAUGCAGUAGUCUGUCGCCAUGGCCUCAGAUGCAAGUCACAUGUUGGAGGCGGCCUUGGAGCAAAUGGAUGACAUCAUCGCAGGCUCCAAGGCUGCAGCCGAGUACACCAACGGCCUGUUUGAGCUGGGUUCCCCAGGUAGCGCAGGGCCCCUGCAGGUUCUACAGCUGGUUGAGGACCUGAGGCUGGCCCUGGAGCUGCAGCCCAGAGAGGAGGAGAGGAACACCCUGAGGGCCCAGGUCCCCAGCAGCACUGCUCACAUGCUCAUGGACUGGCUGGACAUGGACAGGGGCUCAGACAGGGGCUCGGUUAACCUUCGCUCCCCGGUGAACAAUGAGAGCUAUCAGGAGCGUCUGGUUCGCCUAGAGGGGGACAAAGAGUCUCUGGUUCUCCAGGUGAGCGUGCUCACAGACCAGGUGGAGGCCCAAGGAGAGAAGAUCCGAGACCUGGAGAGCUCUCUGGAGGAGCACCACCACAAACUCAACUCCACUGAGGAAAUGCUACAGCAGGAGCUGCUGAGCCGGAACUCGUUGGAGACCCAGAAACUAGAUCUGAUGGAUGAGGUUUCCUACCUGAAACUGAAGCUGGUCGGCAUGGACGAGAAACAGAACCACAACGACAGCAGCAAGGACCAGCAGAACAAAGCUGAGUGUGUGGUAAAUCUGAUAAGCGAGCUCCAGGAGCAGAUGUGUAGGUUUCAGGAAGAGAUCCACACCCGCAUCAUGGAGAAACGGGCCAUGGAGGCCCAGGGGGAGAGUGGUGCCCGCGAGGCCCAUGACCAGAGCCCUGACGUGGGCUUGGGUGGCACUGACAUGGAGGAGUUUUGCUGUUGCUGUGGAGGACAGAAUGGCUUACUGCAAGAACUCAGGCUCCUCAAGAGUAAAGUGGAUGUGCUGGAGGGGGAGAAAUUGCAGUAUGAGAGAAAACUAAAGGCCACGAAGGUGGAGAUAGCAGACUUACAGCAGAUACUGGCUUCCAAAGACUCUGAGAUCGAGGGCCUUCAGAGCCAGCUGGUCUCCAGAGGCCCAAUGACCAAUGAGAAUCCAGAGAGAGUGGAGGUCUUUAGGAGACUGCUGACAGACCAAUACCAAGAAUUCCAAAGGUUGAAAAUGGGGAUGGAGUCGUUGUUAGCGGCAAAUGAUGAGAAAGACCGUCACAUAGAGGAGCUCACUAUUCUCCUGAGACAGUACAGGAAGAUGAAGGAGGUGAUGGCCCUCGCACAAGUGACCAGUGAGAAGCUCCUUGUUGGGAGCAGUGAGGAGGAACUGAGUGGGAGUCUGAAGAUGAGAGCUCUCACACAUAAAGCUCAUUCAGACAUCAUCCGUUCAGAGAUGUCUUCCAGGUGCUCCUCUCCUCUGUUAAGGUCUUCCUCAUCCUUCCAGAAAGAGCUGAACUCUAGUAUCCAGACCUCCCUGGAGACGUCCAUGGUGAUGGUCUCCCCGAGCGAUGCUGGCUGCUUCCACAACGGACAAUGGUCCCAACCACAGAUGCUUUCAAGCAGCCUGGAGGAGUUACAAAGCAGAUCGUUACCAAAGCAUGUAGUGGGUCAACCAGUUGAAGCGGUUUCAGAGAAUCGGCACAUGGAAAUGAACAAAUAUCAGACCCUACCAGGGAAGCUAUCUCGACCUGACAUGAAUGGGGAUCAAGAGCAGUAUGCCACACCAGUCCAGCUGUCCCCUGACGAUAGCGAGGACAGUGAGUUGAACCUAAGAAAGUCGGAGAGACUGGAUGAGUCCACGCAGUCGGACCUGUCCCCCCUGUCGUCUGGAGUGGACUCAGGAAAGCAGUCUCCUGUCUCCCCAGAGAACAAGAAGAACCACCUGGGCAUCAAGAAACUCUGGGGGAAGAUUCGGAGGACCCAGUCUGGCACCCUGCAGAGAGAGGACCUUGAGCCUGGAGAGUUUAAGAGGGGGGGACUGAGAGCCACCGCCAGCCCUCGUCUUGCCCGGACUGGAGAGACAUUGACGUCUGUGUGGGAUUUGAAGACACCCUUCUCCAAGUGGACUCCGGAGCAGGUCUGUUGCUGGCUAGAGGAGAGUGGGCUGGACCAGUAUGUGAUUCUGGCCCAACAUUGGGCCAACAGUGGGCAGACCCUCCUCUCCGCCUCACCACAGGACUUAGAGAAGGAAAUGGGGAUUAAGAAUCCACUGCACAGGAAGAAGUUACAGUUGGCCCUCAAGUCCUUCAGCACCAAAACGACUGAGAAAUCCUCUGAACUGGACCACAUCUGGGUCACACGUUGGCUUGAUGACAUUGGUUUACCUCAAUACAAGAGUCAGUUUCACGAGGGAAGAGUAGACGGCAGAAUGAUUCAGUACUUGACAGUGAAUGACCUCUUGUUCCUGAAAGUGACCAGUCAGCUCCAUCAUCUCAGUGUGAAGUGUGCUAUCCACGUCCUCCACGUCAACAAGUUCAACCCCAACUGCCUGAAGAGAAGACCUGGAGAUGAGAACAAGACUUCUCCCUCGGAGGUGGUUCAGUGGUCGAACCACAGGGUGAUGGAGUGGCUUCGCUCAGUGGACCUGGCGGAAUACGCACCCAACCUGAGGGGCAGCGGGGUGCACGGGGGCCUCAUCAUUCUGGAGCCUCGUUUUAACUCAGAUACCCUGGCCAUGCUGCUGAACAUCCCCCCUCAGAAGACCCUGCUGCGACGUCACCUGGCCACCAACUUUAACAUGCUGGUGGGCUCCCAGGCUCAGCAGGAGAAGAGGGAGUUCAUGGAGUCUUUAGGCUAUGCUCCGCUCAGCACCACAGCCAAAGUCAGGCCAAAGAAGUUGGGCUUCUCAAACUUUGGCCACCUGAGGAAGAAGAGGUGUGACGAGUCAACAGACUACAUUUGCCCCCUGGAGGCGGCCCAGGUUCAGGCGGUGCUGAACGGGGCCCACCGGCCCUACUCCGGCUUCAGGGGCCUCAGCCCCAUCCUAGACAGAGACCCAGACAGACGGCAGCAGGUGGGGCCAAACAGCUGAUGAUGUCAAACUACUGUACCUACCUACCCAUCACUACUCAGCUUGCAGCCAAUAACCCCACCUCUUCCUGCCAUGCCUAUCCAACUCACCCCAGCACACUCACCUCCACACCCCUUAUGUGCCAUCAUCUAACAAUCAACCCCAGCCUCAGGCAUGAGCUGCACUCUGGACACUUAAGAGUGGAUGAUGGCGGUGACAGAGGGGCCUGUGCUGCAGAUAGAAGCUCUGUCUGAGGGAAUUAACCAACUCACGUAUUUGCUUAGCCGAGAUGAGGUUCUGAAGGAGAUGAGACGCCCUCAAACAGCACUAGUCUGAGAGGAUGCCACGCUGGCCACGCUAACCAACACAGCCAAUCAACCAAGGGAAAGCGCGGCCUCAUACCAACCCAAACUCAACGUAGGGUGCUUUACCAGCAACCUCAACUGGCACUUAUCUCAUCAUAAUACAGGACUAUAAUGAACACUACUUCUGUAUUAGUGACAGAAACACAAUGAACGUUGAAGCCAUUGUCUUACGUGUGUCAUUGGAGUGUAGCUCUUUCAAACUUAAUAGUGUAUGUACUUUGUAUUUUUGGUGAAAAGUAUAGGCCUACCGCAAGCCACUUAAACAUGUAUUAAAGUGUUCUUUUCCCUACGUAAUCUAUUUCCCUGUAAUAUUGUACAAUAUAUGUACAUAUCAUAUUUUACAACUUGUUUGUUACGUAUACUGAACAAACAUAUAAACACAACAUGCAACAAUUUCAAA